AUGACUGUAAUCCCAGAUCUUUGGGAGGCCGAGGUGUGUGGAUCACCUGAGGUCAGGAGUUCGAGACCAGCCUGGCCAACAUGAUAUUAACUCCACAAAAAUUGGAAUUGCUAAGAGCCCAAAUACAACAAGAAUUAGAAACUCCAAUGAGAGAACGUUUUAGGAAUCUAGAUGAAGUAAGUAACUUACGUUGUUUACUAUGUAUUUAUCCUCAUGGGAUCAAAGUCUUGAUGAAAAGCAUCAUUCCCCUACCCCAAAACCCUGCAGUAGUUCCCCCUUUUACUCAGUCAUUACAGUGGCCUCUAAAGCUUCACAGGAUUGAACUCCCAUUACAUCUCUGAUCUCCUUUCCUUUUUCCACAUUGGCCUAUUGAUGUUUCUUUGGCACUCCAGAAUUGGUGCAUUUCUUUAUUUUUAUUUUUAAUUUUUUUGAGACAGAGUCUGGCUCUGUUGCCCAGCUUGGAGUGCAGUGGUGUGAUCUCGGCUCACUUCAACCUCCGCCUCUCCGGUUCAAGCGAUUCUCUUGCUUCAGCCUCCCAAGUAGCUGGGAU
rnacentral:sRNA from 1 species